UAAUUUUUCAAUCUUCUGCACCAAAGCCCUCCCAAAUGCGUAUAAAUGGGAAGUGAAUUUUUCCUCAAGGCUGCGAGUCUGUGAAAGCGCCCCUGGAAACUCUGAACCAAUCGCUCAAAUCAAUUGUCUCUCUCUGGUAUUGUCCAUUUUUCGUUUUGUUUUGAUGGACCCAGGUAAUGUUCUUUAGCCGCCCACCUAGGGUUUCGUAUUGAGCCGCCGAGUAGGGUUUCAUGUUCUUUUUAUAAAGCCUCGACCUUUCUUCGAUUCUUUUCGUCACUUUUUAAUUCCCAGAACUUUAAUCGCAUUUCCAGUCAAUCGAUUCAAACUGUGAUUUGAAUCUUCCGUGGUUGUGGUGGUGAGCCUUUUUCCUUCCAACUGGAAUUCCGUUAUUCUUGGCUUGAUUAAGUAAUUUUUAGGCUUCGUCGCUAUGAAAUCUCAUCUGGGAUAUGGCUGAUAUGGCUGAAUUUUGAGUAUUUGGUUUCUAGGGUUAUUGAAUUUAACGGUGCAAAAAGCCAAUUGGGUAUGUUUCAGUAGUUUGAUUUUGGGCCUUUUGAAUCUGUUGGGAAUUGCGAUUUUCCACCUGCUUAUUGUUUAAUUCCCGCCAAGAAUGAAUCUUGGGCUCAAAACUUCAUCUGGGUCAAUUUAAAACCACUAAUUUGUUACCUUUCCACAAGACUUGGCACUUUGCUUGGUGGGUUUUGAUAUUGUAAUGGACGACGGGGAGCUCGAUUUCUCGAACCAGGAAAUGUUUUCAAGUACGAAUAUGGGGGAGCUUCCGAAUAGUUGCUCGAUGGACAGUUUCUUUGAUGAACUUCUCAAGGACACCCAUGCUUGCACUCACACUCACACUUGCAACCCACCCGGCCCUGAUUCUUCGCAUACCCACACCUGCUUUCAUGUACACACUAAAAUUGUUCCGGCAUCAAGUGAGGAAAAGGCUGCGACGGAUGAUACUGCAGAGUCCACCGAAAAGAAAGGGAAGAAAGUGAAACGACCGUUAGGCAAUCGGGAAGCGGUUCGCAAGUACCGUGAGAAGAAGAAGGCUCGAGCUGCAUCAUUGGAAGACGAGGUUGUGAGAUUACGGGGUUUGAAUCAGCAGUUGUUGAAGAGGUUGCAGGGUCAAGCUGCGUUGGAAGCGGAGAUUGCAAGGCUGAAGUGUUUGCUUGUGGACAUUCGAGGAAGAAUCGAAGGGGAGAUUGGAUCGUUCCCAUAUCAAAAACCGGUCAACCCCCCCAUCUUUCCUAAUCAGAACAUGGCUGGUGCAUAUGUGAUGAACCCAUGUAACAUGCAGAGUGGAGACCAGGUCUAUUGUCUUCAUCCAGUGGCGGAUGGCAAAAGUGGAGAAGACGCAACAUUAAACGGCCAAGGCUUUAGUGGCUGUGAGUUUGAGAAUCCCCAGUGUUUGGCAAAUCAGAAUUCGGUAUCCAAGGAGCUUCCUGGUUGUGCUGUUGGGAAUGAAGUAUCCGAUGUCAAUUCAUCCGGCACAAAUAAGAGGAAAGCAGCGCAAAUUGAUGACUCUGACAGCAGUGUAGUCUGUUUUCACCCUGUGGGGAAUACUUUAAUAACUUGUUAAGAGCAUGGGGCUUAUUAUUGUGGCAAUCAACUGAUGGCUAUUGGGUCAAGCAAUUUAGCUAGUUGUAACGGGAGGAGCUCGGGCAGCCAGAGCAAGUUGAAGAGCUGACUAUUUGUCAUUGUGUUUAUCCUCGAGGGUACAUAUGGUCUACCAAUAAGUAGUUUUGUUGGACUGCAGCAUCGUCAUUUUGUGAUUUAUUCUCUGUUUCAUUUUGUACCCACUGUUGGGUUAUUGGGGGUGCCAUGGGCUAUCUAUAUCAAGCAUGAGAUUUGCUGGGCUUGCUGCUGUUUUAGCAAGUGUUUUGGUAACUUUAUGGCUUUGUAAAGUGGAGAGUUUAGUAGAUGUAUAAUGUAGUUCGUGGAACUUGUGGUUGAGGUCAACUUUAUGAUUUUCUAUGAAGUUGAAUGCCCUUCAGUCUCAGCUUUAGUAAUAUUCUAUACGGCCGCACACAUACGUCGGUCAAUUAAAAUGGUA